rnacentral:sRNA from 1 species
AUGCGGACUCCCCGGUUCCUGCGCACCGGCCACACCCGCCUAAGGGCUGCUCGCUACGUCUUGUUGGCC